GACGAACGCUGGCGGCGUGCUUAACACAUGCAAGUCGAACGGAAAGGCCCUGCUUUUGUGGGGUGCUCGAGUGGCGAACGGGUGAGUAACACGUGAGUAACCUGCCCUUGACUUUGGGAUAACUUCAGGAAACUGGGGCUAAUACCCGAUAGGAGCUCCUGCUGCAUGGGGGGGGUUGGAAAGUUUCGGCGGUUGGGGAUGGACUCGCGGCUUAUCAGCUUGUUGGUGGGGUAGUGGCUUACCAAGGCUUUGACGGGUAGCCGGCCUGAGAGGGUGACCGGCCACAUUGGGACUGAGAUACGGCCCAGACUCCUACGGGAGGCAGCAGUGGGGAAUAUUGCACAAUGGGCGGAAGCCUGAUGCAGCAACGCCGCGUGCGGGAUGACGGCCUUCGGGUUGUAAACCGCUUUCGCCUGUGACGAAGCGUGAGUGACGGUAAUGGGUAAAGAAGCACCGGCUAACUACGUG
rnacentral:rRNA from 1 species